AACUUCCGCAAUGUGAGAAAUCGCGACGGGGGGAUCCCAAGUGCCAUUCUUAACGGGAUGGCUUUUCAUUAGUGUAAAGAGCUUUUGGAAUAAGAGCUGGGCAAGACCGGUGCCAGCCGCCGCGGUAACACCGGCAGCUCUAGUGGUAACAAUUUUUAUUGGGCCUAAAGCGUCCGUAGCCGGUUUAAUAAGUCUCUGGUGAAAUCCUGUAGCUUAACUGUGGGAAUUGCUGGAGAUACUAUUAGACUUGAGACCGGGAGAGGUUAGAGGUACUCCCAGGGUAGAGGUGAAAUUCUGUAAUCCUGGGAGGACCGCCCGUUGCGAAGGCGUCUAACUGGAACGGUUCUGACGGUGAGGGACGAAAGUUAGGGGCGCGAACCGGAUUAGAUACCCGGGUAGUCCUAACUGUAAACGAUGCGGACUUGGUGUUGGGGUGGCUUUGAGCUGCUCCAGUGCCGAAGGGAGCUGUUAAGUCCGCCGCCUGGGAAGUACGGUCGCAAGACUGAAACUUAAAGGAAUU
rnacentral:rRNA from 1 species